rnacentral:rRNA from 1 species
UGGGGAAUAUUGCGCAAUGGGCGAAAGCCUGACGCAGCGACGCCGCGUGGGGGAUGACGGCCUUCGGGUUGUAAACCUCUUUCAGCAGGGACGAAGUUGACGUGUACCUGCAGAAGAAGCGCCGGCUAACUACGUGCCAGCAGCCGCGGUAAUACGUAGGGCGCAAGCGUUGUCCGGAAUUAUUGGGCGUAAAGAGCUCGUAGGUGGCUGGUCGCGUCUGCCGUGAAAGCCCGCAGCUUAACUGCGGGUCUGCGGUGGAUACGGGCCGGCUAGAGGUAGGUAGGGGCAAGUGGAAUUCCUGGUGUAGCGGUGAAAUGCGCAGAUAUCAGGAGGAACACCGGUGGCGAAGGCGGCUUGCUGGGCCUUACCUGACGCUGAGGAGCGAAAGCGUGGGGAGCGAACA